UUCACCUUUACAGCAAGUUUGGUAUAAAGCUAUUAAUGUGAAAUCGCUUACAAAAGAGAUAUUAAUAAAAAUCCAAAACUUUAAUGCCUAGACUUCAUUUUGAUUACUAAACUUUAUUAAUAUAGCAAACUAAAACAAUUCUGUUAUUCUUCAAGUUCCUAAGAAAUACCAUGCAUACAUUAUGGAAAUUUAAUUGGAAAUUUGUCAGGCAUGGUCACUAUAGGUCUGAACAUUUAUUGAAACAUUUAAAAUAACUUGAUAAAAUAUAAAUAAUUUAUAUACAGAAAAUAAGAGGCUAAAUCUUCUCAUAUUAAUAUAUAGUAAACCCCUGCAGAUACAACCUGCACCAUGCAGCAGACUUCUACCUGGACAUCCAGGCAUUUCAGUUGGUGGGAGACCGCCUCUGCCUCCCUGUAGGCUCAGAUUCUCCAAAGCCUGAAAACUGGAAUGGUUAAGUCACCCAAACAGCAAAGAUGGUGGCCCACUCCUUUACCUGGGACUGGUGUGUGGAUUUGUCUGGGGAAAUGUUAGAAAAAAUGGUGGAUAGAGUUUUCUGGAAGUCCACUUGAGUAGAGGUGCUAAAAAGUAUCCUGAGAUAUAUAUUGACAGAAAAGUAGCUAGAUAUGACUAUCCUGAUCAAAUACCAAGCCUUUAUUAUGAG
rnacentral:lncRNA from 1 species